CCACGAACCAUGAGAUCAUGACCUGAGCUGAAGUCGGAUGCUUAACCGACUGAGCCUCCCAGCUCUCACAACCACGUGGCCCUGAGCGUUUUCCCCGUGGCAAACGAAACCAGGUACCCAUGAUGCAGUGCCCACAUCUGCUGAACCUUACUUCCUAGAAGGGCCUCUCCGCCUUCUGUGUGGUUGGAUUUCCCUUCUGUCACGCAUUCCGUGCAGGCCUGUAAGCCUACGGGCCGCGGCCUUCUCGUUGGCCUUAUCUCACUGAGCUCAUGCUUCCAGUGCUCACCCACGUGGCCACACAAAUCAGAACUGCCUUCCUUCUGAUGGGUGACAGGUAUUGUACGUGCAUUCCCAGGCGUGGAAGGACUGAGUCAUGUCAGAACUUUCUGAGGAGCUGCCAGACUGUUUCCACAGCAUGUAUGACAGCUUCUACUUCUCCCAUCCUCACCAACACUUGGGGUACCGUAAACAAGUUAGAGCCGCUCCAUUGACUGUCAGUGCUGUGUCCUUGUGGUCUGGCGCGUGUCCUUGGUGUACAACGUAGUGAUUCCACAAGCCUGUCUGUUAUGCUGGGCUCAGCACAAGUGUAGCUGCCAUCUGUCACCACACAACAUAUGACAACGUCAUUGACUGUAUCCGCUCUCCUGUGCUUUUCAUCCUCGUGACUCACUCAUUCCAUAAGUGGAAGCCUGUACCCCCCACCUCCCUUCCCUCUGACAACGAUUUUGGCGUCAUUGGCCUUCUGCGUGAGAACCUUUGUGGUGGGGCCAGCCAGGUGCGGACAUGGACAUCAGCUGACCUGGUGGCAGACCUGCCCACGUAAGCAGGGUUGUAUAAGAUCACCAAGUCAGAGCUCUGAGUGGGCCCAGUACCAAUGCAUUAGAGGACACAGUGGAACGUUCCAGAUCAGAGAGGCCCUUUUUAUCCCCGCAUGUGCCGGAGCUCCCAACAUUCUCUCUCCUGGGACCCUUUGGAGAAGGCAGAGGCUUCUGUGGGGCAGACACUCAGCAUCAGCGUGGAAAAACUUCCCUCUACCCUUCAAAAACUAUUUUGGCUAAGUUGACAUGAGAACGAUUAACAGGAGAAAAUAAAAUUUAAUUUUGUAUGUUUAGAAACCCCA